GAUGAACGCUGGCGGUAUGCUUAACACAUGCAAGUCGAACGGACUCUUCGGAGUUAGUGGCGGACGGGUGAGUAACGCGUGAGAAUCUGGCUUUGGGUUCGGGAAAACAACUGGAAACGGGGGCAAAUACCGGAUGUGCCAGGAGGUAAAAGAGAAAUUGCCUGAAGAUGAGCUCGCGUCUGAUUGGCUAGUUGGUGAGGUAAAGGCUCACCAAGGCAGCGAUCAGUAGCUGGUCUGAGAGGAUGACCAGCCACACUGGGACUGAGACACGGCCCAGACUCCUACGGGAGGCAGCAGUGGGGAAUUUUCCGCAAUGGGCGAAAGCCUGACGGAGCAAUACCGCGUGAGGGAAGAAGGCUCUUGGGUUGUAAACCUCUUUUCUUAGGGAAGAACAAAAUGACGGUACCUAAGGAAUCAGCAUCGGCUAACUCCGUG
rnacentral:rRNA from 1 species